GAUUUGUUCCUCGAUUGGACGCUGGGAUUCUCUUAAGAGAGUGUUCCUGAUGGGCAAACAGGAUCCAUGGUGUCCGUGUUUGUCGGAUUUCUUCCGAGACGGGCGAGGGGGAGGAUACGCUCGGGAAAUAGAAGUGGACAAGCAAACGGAAGAAACGAUCCUCACGGAAAAAAUUACAGGCUCAUAGGAUGCUAAUGCGCGCGCGCGCGUCACAGCGAGCGAUUUCCGACCAGGUUUGUAGGCUCCAUUAGGAAACAAUAUCCGCCCGCAUGCAGCUGCACUUUCAAUAUAAACAGGAAGGAGAGAGACAUAACAAGAGAGGAUUAGAGCGAAUAUCUCACCUGCCCCACGCUAAAUCAGGGGGGAGAGAGAUUGAGAGGAGAUCUCGAGCUUGCCCACCUUAAAAUCAGGGGAGAGAGAAAAGAUUAGGACCGCUCGUUGCUACGCUCGCUCGUGAAAGAGCUUUUCCGGUCAUAGCGAAGCUAUUGCGGAUCCAGGCGAGAUCUGCCCAGAAGAUAUUGGAGCUGCGAUGGCUAAAGAAGCCGGAGAUGCAGAGGGAGUGGUGGUGUCCAAAUCAAAAGGAUCUUGCGGAAAGACAAUUUACGAACCUUGUAUUGAUCUGGCGAUUUUUUGCAUAAUGUGUCUGAUUUUUUCCUAAAUCUGCUCGAUCAUAGUCUGUAUCUUUAAUUCCUUGCUGUUUGUAGUCAUCUAGCGGGAAAAGAUUAGUUUUUUUUUUUGCGAAACGGGAAAAGAUUAGUUGUAUCCUAGUACUAACCAGUGGUUCCGAUUACUUUUCAGGAUAAGAAUUGGUAAAGCUGCUGAGGAGAGGAGAGCAACGCCAACCCUAGCAGAGUGCCUUCCCUGGAGGCUUCAGUUCGUGCUUAUGCUGAUAAGUAGACAUGUUGUGUUGUUAAUCCACAAGUUGGUACUAACUUCGAUUCUGUUGAAGAGGCGUACAAAUUUGACAACGUAUACUCCUCGGAGACUGGUUUUGGAUAGCCGGUUGUAUGUCCAUAAAAAGAAAUGCAUGCAACAGAUCGUGUGGGCAUGCACGGUGAGCAGCUGAUGAUUUUUGUGAAUGAGACCAUGCUUGAUUUUGUGUGCCCAUUAGGGAUUAGAAGACGCACGGCACAUGAGUAACUGAUGAUAAAUACGCCUGCACUAAAUACAUGCACUUCGGCAUUUCUUGUUGAAUCCAUGGGUGAUUGAGGUAUCCGGGUGAUUGACACAACAGAUUUUUUAUGUUUUGUAAUUGAGUGAUUCUUUGGGUCAGUCUAAUAAUUAGUUCUCAAUCAAGAUUUUUGUUUUGUUUUGUACAUUUGUUGUUGUUUUAGUCUGUUUUUGGACGAUUCUGUGCUAUUUUGGCCAAAUGUACUACAUUAGUGGCUUAAUUAUGAAAAAACUAAUGUAAU
rnacentral:lncRNA from 1 species